GGGCUCAAAAAUUAAACAGUUUUAGAAUCACGAGUUCAAAAAUAUAAUUUAAUAUUGAAAUUAUACCAUUUUUAAAUAUAUUAAUAUAUGAAUCACGAGUAUUAUAUCAUGUGGCAUAAAGUGACAUUCAAAGUGAUUGGGUAUAUUUUUUUUACUAAAGAAAUGUGAAUUCUGUCAAUAACAAAAAACGCUGUCAUUUCCACCGUUCAAAAUGGAAUGUUUUGAUAUAUUGUACACCUUUAAAGUUUAAUUAUACUAAAAACUUUGAAGCGUCGUAAAAAAAUCCAACUCGCUCCACAAUUUGAAAUGCUGAUGAAAACAAGAGCGAGUGCGAAAUAUCCUACUGUUGAAAAAAUCCAUUUAAGGUUCUAGAAAAUUAAUAACAUUAUAUAGAAAACGAUACAUUAAAACAAUUUCUAAAUGUGACUAAAAAAACAUGGCAGACCCAAGAGCCUUGACGAUGAAGUUCAGAAUAAUCUUUGAAGGAUAUCCAGGGUCCAAAUAUCGAAGUGACAGGGGAAACUAAAUAUCCAACGUAUUGCCAAAGCACUGGUGGUUUAUGGUUACUUUCGUUUUGAUCCACAGCUAUGCUGAUUUCUUUCAUCACUGCGAUCAUUACUACACCGCGUAUUUUGUGCCAUGAUGCAGCUUCCAUCGACAAUUCGCUGUGAAAUUAAGAUUAAUCUUUAAGUCGUCCUGCUUCGAUUUUAAUUUUAAAAAACUCAAUUUCAUUUAAUUGAAUUUGAUAAAAAAGUAUUUAAUUCAUGUGAAAACUGUACCAAUAUAAAAUUACAAAAAUACUUGGUAUGAAGACUCCGAUUCCACUUCGGUAUUUUUUUGGCAAUUGCAAAUAGAUAUAAGAGGCUAUGGUGAAUAUUGCUAAAAGAUAUAAACUUUCAGGAACGUAGUUGUAAAGUAUUGCAAAUCCAAGGAUAAUCGACGCUCCGUGCAUCAAUUUAUUUGGAGUGUAAGCUGCAAUAAUAUUGAUUAGUUGAAUAAAUGGUCACUGAAUAUCGUCA